rnacentral:rRNA from 1 species
CCGAAUGGGGAAACCCAGUGUGAUUCGUCACACUAUCAUUAACUGAAUCCAUAGGUUAAUGAGGCGAACCGGGGGAACUGAAACAUCUAAGUACCCCGAGGAAAAGAAAUCAACCGAGAUUCCCCCAGUAGCGGCGAGCGAACGGGGAGGAGCCCAGAGCCUGAAUCAGCAUGUGUGUUAGUGGAAGCGUCUGGAAAGGUGCGCGAUACAGGGUGACAGCCCCGUACACAAAAGCGCAUGUGCUGUGAGCUCGAUGAGUAGGGCGGGACACGUGGUAUCCUGUCUGAAUAUGGGGGGACCAUCCUCCAAGGCUAAAUACUCCUGACUGACCGAUAGUGAACCAGUACCGUGAGGGAAAGGCGAAAAGAACCCCGGCGAGGGGAGUGAAAAAGAACCUGAAACCGUGUACGUACAAGCAGUGGGAGCACAGGUUUACCUGUGUGACUGCGUACCUUUUGUAUAAUGGGUCAGCGACUUAUAUUCUGUAGCAAGGUUAACCGUAUAGGGGAGCCGGAGGGAAACCGAGUCUUAAUUGGGCGUUAAGUUGCAGGGUAUAGACCCGAAACCCGGUGAUCUAGCCAUGGGCAGGUUGAAGGUUGGGUAACACUAACUGGAGGACCGAACCGACUAAUGUUGAAAAAUUAGCGGAUGACCUGUGGCUGGGGGUGAAAGGCCAAUCAAACCGGGAGAUAGCUGGUUCUCCCCGAAAGCUAUUUAGGUAGCGCCUCGUGAAUUCAUCUCCGGGGGUAGAGCACUGUUUCGGCUAGGGGGCCAUCCCGGCUUACCAACCCGAUGCAAACUGCGAAUACCGGAGAAUGUUAUCACGGGAGACACACGGCGGGUGCUAACGUCCGUCGUGAAGAGGGAAACAACCCAGACCGCCAGCUAAGGUCCCAAAGUCAUGGUUAAGUGGGAAACGAUGUGGGAAGGCCCAGACAGCCAGGAUGUUGGCUUAGAAGCAGCCAUCAUUUAAAGAAAGCGUAAUAGCUCACUGGUCGAGUCGGCCUGCGCGGAAGAUGUAACGGGGCUAAACCAUGCACCGAAGCUGCGGCAGCGAACGUAUCACCCAAGACAACUUUACGGAGUUGACGAUUGACGGAGCGAAGCGACGUCAAAGCGUUCAUUAAAGUCGAGUUGGCUUAGGGAUACGUUCGUUGGGUAGGGGAGCGUUCUGUAAGCCUGUGAAGGUGUGUCGUGAGGCAUGCUGGAGGUAUCAGAAGUGCGAAUGCUGACAUAAGUAACGAUAAAGCGGGUGAAAAGCCCGCUCGCCGGAAGACCAAGGGUUCCUGUCCAACGUUAAUCGGGGCAGGGUGAGUCGACCCCUAAGGCGAGGCCGAAAGGCGUAGUCGAUGGGAAACGGGUUAAUAUUCCCGUACUUGGUGUUACUGCGAAGGGGGGACGGAGAAGGCUAUGUUGGCCGGGCGACGGUUGUCCCGGUUUAAGCGUGUAGGUGUGUGUUCCAGGUAAAUCCGGUUCACUUUAACACUGAGGCGUGACGACGAGGCACUAC